rnacentral:rRNA from 1 species
UACAGAGGUCUCAAGCGUUGUUCGGAUUCAUUGGGCGUAAAGGGUGCGUAGGCGGCGCGGUAAGUCGGGUGUGAAAUUUCGAGGCUUAACUUCGAAACUGCAUUCGAUACUGCCGUGCUUGAGGACUGGAGAGGAGACUGGAAUUUACGGUGUAGCGGUGAAAUGCGUAGAUAUCAGGAGGAACACCGGUGGCGAAGGCGGGUCUCUGGGCCGAUACUGACGCUGAGGAGCGAAAGCGUGGGGAGCAAACAGG